rnacentral:rRNA from 1 species
AUUGAACGCUGGCGGCAGGCCUAACACAUGCAAGUCGAACGAGUGGCGGACGGGUGAGUAAUGUCUGGGAAACUGCCUGAUGGAGGGGGAUAACUACUGGAAACGGUAGCUAAUACCGCAUACCAUCAGAUGUGCCCAGAUGGGAUUAGCUAGUAGGUGGGGUAACGGCUCACCUAGGCGACGAUCCCUAGCUGGUCUGCGAGGAUGACCAGCCAAACUGGAACGGAGACACGGUCCAGACUCCUACGGGAGGAGGCAGUGGGGAAUAUUGCACAAGGGGCGAAAGCCUGAUGCAGACAUGCCGCGUGUAUGAAGAAGGCCUUCGGGUUGUAAAGUACUUUCAGCGGGGAGGCGUUACCCGCAGAAGAAGCACCGGCUAACUCCGUGCCAGCAGCCGCGGUAAUAC